GGGUUGUGAGGUUAAGCGACUAAGCGUACACGGUGGAUGCCCGCAGUCAGAGGCGAUGAAGGACGUGCUAAUCUGCGAAAAGCGUCGGUAAGGUGAUAUGAACCGUUAUAACCGGCGAUGUCCGAAUGGGGAAACCCAGUGCAAUUCGUUGCACUAUCGUUAACUGAAUACAUAGGUUAACGAGGCGAACCGGGGGAACUGAAACAUCUAAGUACCCCGAGGAAAAGAAAUCAACCGAGAUUCCCCCAGUAGCGGCGAGCGAACGGGGAGCAGCCCAGAGUCUGAAUCAGCUUGUGUGUUAGUGGAACGGUCUGGAAAGUCCGACGGUACAGGGUGAUAGUCCCGUACACCAAAAUGCACAGGCUGUGAACUCGAAGAGUAGGGCGGGACACGUGGUAUCCUGUCUGAAUAUGGGGGGACCAUCCUCCAAGGCUAAAUACUCCUGACUGACCGAUAGUGAACCAGUACCGUGAGGGAAAGGCGAAAAGAACCCCGGCGAGGGGAGUGAAAAAGAACCUGAAACCGUGUACGUACAAGCAGUGGGAGCACCUUCGGGUGUGACUGCGUACCUUUUGUAUAAUGGGUCAGCGACUUAUAUUCUGUAGCAAGGUUAACCGUAUAGGGGAGCCGCAGGGAAACCGAGUCUUAACUGGGCGUUAAGUUGCAGGGUAUAGACCCGAAACCCGGUGAUCUAGCCAUGGGCAGGUUGAAGGUUGGGUAACACUAACUGGAGGACCGAACCGACUAAUGUUGAAAAAUUAGCGGAUGACUUGUGGCUGGGGUGAAAGGCCAAUCAAACCGGGAGAUAGCUGGUUCUCCCGAAAGCUAUUUAGGUAGCGCCUCGUGAACUCAUCUUCGGGGUAGAGCACUGUUUCGGCUAGGGGUCAUCCCGACUUACCAACCCGAUGCAAACUACGAAUACCGAAGAAUGUUAUCACGGGAGACACACGGCGGGUGCUAACGUCCGUCGUGAAGAGGGAAACAACCCAGACCGCCAGCUAAGGUCCCAAAGUCAUGGUUAAGUGGGAAACGAUGUGGGAAGGCACAGACAGCCGUGAUGUUGGCUUAGAAGCAGCCAUCAUUUAAAGAAAGCGUAAUAGCUCACUGGUCGAGUCGGCCUGCGCGGAAGAUGUAACGGGCUAAACCAUGCACCGAAGCUGCGGCAGCGACACUAUGUGUUGUUGGGUAGGGGAGCGUUCUGUAAGCCUGCGAAGGUGACCUGUGAGGGUUGCUGGAGGUAUCAGAAGUGCGAAUGCUGACAUAAGUAACGAUAAAGCGGGUGAAAAGCCCGCUCGCCGGAAGACCAAGGGUUCCUGUCCAACGUUAAUCGGGGCAGGGUGAGUCGACCCCUAAGGCGAGGCCGAAAGGCGUAGUCGAUGGGAAACAGGUUAAUAUUCCUGUACUUGGUGUUACUGCGAAGGGGACGGAGAAGGCUAUGUUAGCCGGGCGACGGUUGUCCCGGUUUAAGCAUGUAGGCUGGUUAUCCAGGCAAAUCCGGAUAAUCAAGGCUGAGGUGUGAUGACAAGGCACUACGGUGCUGAAGUAACAAAUGCCCUGCUUCCGUGAAAGCCUCUAAGCAUCAGGUAACAUCAAAUCGUACCCCAAACCGACACAGGUGGUCAGGUAGAGAAUACCAAGGCGCUUGAGAGAACUCGGGUGAAGGAACUAGGCAAAAUGGUGCCGUAACUUCGGGAGAAGGCACGCUGGUGUGUAGGUGAAGCCCCUGCGGGUGGAGCUGAGACCAGUCGAAGAUACCAGCUGGCUGCAACUGUUUAUUAAAAACACAGCACUGUGCAAACACGAAAGUGGACGUAUACGGUGUGACGCCUGCCCGGUGCCGGAAGGUUAAUUGAUGGGGUUAUCCGUAAGGAGAAGCUCUUGAUCGAAGCCCCGGUAAACGGCGGCCGUAACUAUAACGGUCCUAAGGUAGCGAAAUUCCUUGUCGGGUAAGUUCCGACCUGCACGAAUGGCGUAAUGAUGGCCAGGCUGUCUCCACCCGAGACUCAGUGAAAUUGAACUCGCUGUGAAGAUGCAGUGUACCCGCGGCAAGACGGAAAGACCCCGUGAACCUUUACUAUAGCUUGACACUGAACAUUGAGCCUUGAUGUGUAGGAUAGGUGGGAGGCUUUGAAGCGUGGACGCCAGUCUGCGUGGAGCCAACCUUGAAAUACCACCCUUUAAUGUUUGAUGUUCUAACGUUGGCCCCUGACCGGGGUUGCGGACAGUGUCUGGUGGGUAGUUUGACUGGGGCGGUCUCCUCCCAAAGCGUAACGGAGGAGCACGAAGGUUAGCUAAUCCUGGUCGGACAUCAGGAGGUUAGUGCAAUGGCAUAAGCUAGCUUGACUGCGAGCGUGACGGCGCGAGCAGGUGCGAAAGCAGGUCAUAGUGAUCCGGUGGUUCUGAAUGGAAGGGCCAUCGCUCAACGGAUAAAAGGUACUCCGGGGAUAACAGGCUGAUACCGCCCAAGAGUUCAUAUCGACGGCGGUGUUUGGCACCUCGAUGUCGGCUCAUCACAUCCCGGGCUGAAGUAGGUCCCAAGGGUAUGGCUGUUCGCCAUUUAAAGUGGUACGCGAGCUGGGUUUAGAACGUCGUGAGACAGUUCGGUCCCUAUCUGCCGUGGGCGCUGGAGAAUUGAGGGGGGCUGCUCCUAGUACGAGAGGACCGGAGUGGACGCAUCACUGGUGUUCGGGUUGUCAUGCCAAUGGCACUGCCCGGUAGCUAAAUGCGGAAGAGAUAAGUGCUGAAAGCAUCUAAGCACGAAACUUGCCCCGAGAUGAGUUCUCCCUGAGACUUUAAGUCUCCUGAAGGAACGUUGAAGACGACGACGUUGAUAGGCCGGGUGUGUAAGCGCAGCGAUGUGUUGAGCUAACCGGUACUAAUGAACCGUGAGGCUUAACCUUACAACGCCGAAG
rnacentral:rRNA from 1 species